AUGGAUUCUGUGCUUGGUAAUUUGCCAUCUUAUAACCCUCAUAAUUUCAGUCAGAUUCGACCUUCAGAUCCUUCUAGUUCUUCUAAGACACCAGCUACUUACCAUCCUACUCACAGCAGGACCCUUCCGCCGCCUGAUCAAGUGAUAAACACUGAAGCCAAAAAUAUCCUCCUAAGGCACAUUUAUCAGCAUGCUCGGGAAAAGUUGAAACCAAAAAGAGCUGCAGCUGGUAACCUCUUACCGGAGCACGGAUGCAAGCAACCUAGGGUUUCCUCUUGA